GGGUUGUGAGGUUAAGCGACUAAGCGUACACGGUGGAUGCCCUGGCAGUCAGAGGCGAUGAAGGGCGUGCUAAUCUGCGAUAAGCGCCGGUAAGGUGAUAUGAACCGUUAUAACCGGCGAUACCCGAAUGGGGAAACCCAGUGUGACUCGUCACACUAUCAUUAACUGAAUCCAUAGGUUAAUGAGGCGAACCGGGGGAACUGAAACAUCUAAGUACCCCGAGGAAAAGAAAUCAACCGAGAUUCCCCCAGUAGCGGCGAGCGAACGGGGAGGAGCCCAGAGCCUGAAUCAGCAUGUGUGUUAGUGGAAGCGUCUGGAAAGGCGCGCGAUACAGGGUGACAGCCCCGUACACAAAAGCGCAUGUGCUGUGAGCUCGAUGAGUAGGGCGGGACACGUGGUAUCCUGUCUGAAUAUGGGGGGACCAUCCUCCAAGGCUAAAUACUCCUGACUGACCGAUAGUGAACCAGUACCGUGAGGGAAAGGCGAAAAGAACCCCGGCGAGGGGAGUGAAAAAGAACCUGAAACCGUGUACGUACAAGCAGUGGGAGCNNNNGGGCGUUAAGUUGCAGGGUAUAGACCCGAAACCCGGUGAUCUAGCCAUGGGCAGGUUGAAGGUUGGGUAACACUAACUGGAGGACCGAACCGACUAAUGUUGAAAAAUUAGCGGAUGACCUGUGGCUGGGGGUGAAAGGCCAAUCAAACCGGGAGAUAGCUGGUUCUCCCCGAAAGCUAUUUAGGUAGCGCCUCGUGAAUUCAUCUCCGGGGGUAGAGCACUGUUUCGGCUAGGGGGCCAUCCCGGCUUACCAACCCGAUGCAAACUGCGAAUACCGGAGAAUGUUAUCACGGGAGACACACGGCGGGUGCUAACGUCCGUCGUGAAGAGGGAAACAACCCAGACCGCCAGCUAAGGUCCCAAAGUCAUGGUUAAGUGGGAAACGAUGUGGGAAGGCCCAGACAGCCAGGAUGUUGGCUUAGAAGCAGCCAUCAUUUAAAGAAAGCGUAAUAGCUCACUGGUCGAGUCGGCCUGCGCGGAAGAUGUAACGGGGCUAAACCAUGCACCGAAGCUGCGGCAGCGANNUGCUGGAGGUAUCAGAAGUGCGAAUGCUGACAUAAGUAACGAUAAAGCGGGUGAAAAGCCCGCUCGCCGGAAGACCAAGGGUUCCUGUCCAACGUUAAUCGGGGCAGGGUGAGUCGACCCCUAAGGCGAGGCCGAAAGGCGUAGUCGAUGGGAAACGGGUUAAUAUUCCCGUACUUGGUGUUACUGCGAAGGGGGGACGGAGAAGGCUAUGUUGGCCGGGCGACGGUUGUCCCGGUUUAAGCGUGUAGGUGUGUGUUCCAGGUAAAUCCGGUUCACUUUAACACUGAGGCGUGACGACGAGGCACUACGGUGCUGAAGCAACAAAUGCCCUGCUUCCAGGAAAAGCCUCUAAGCAUCAGGUAACAUCAAAUCGUACCCCAAACCGACACAGGUGGUCAGGUAGAGAAUACCAAGGCGCUUGAGAGAACUCGGGUGAAGGAACUAGGCAAAAUGGUGCCGUAACUUCGGGAGAAGGCACGCUGACACGUAGGUGAAGUGAUUUACUCAUGGAGCUGAAGUCAGUCGAAGAUACCAGCUGGCUGCAACUGUUUAUUAAAAACACAGCACUGUGCAAACACGAAAGUGGACGUAUACGGUGUGACGCCUGCCCGGUGCCGGAAGGUUAAUUGAUGGGGUCAGCGCAAGCGAAGCUCCUGAUCGAAGCCCCGGUAAACGGCGGCCGUAACUAUAACGGUCCUAAGGUAGCGAAAUUCCUUGUCGGGUAAGUUCCGACCUGCACGAAUGGCGUAAUGAUGGCCAGGCUGUCUCCACCCGAGACUCAGUGAAAUUGAACUCGCUGUGAAGAUGCAGUGUACCCGCGGCAAGACGGAAAGACCCCGUGAACCUUUACUAUAGCUUGACACUGAACAUUGAGCCUUGAUGUGUAGGAUAGGUGGGAGGCUUUGAAGUGUGGACGCCAGUCUGCAUGGAGCCGACCUUGAAAUACCACCCUUUAAUGUUUGAUGUUCUAACGUGGACCCGUUACCCGGGUUGCGGACAGUGUCUGGUGGGUAGUUUGACUGGGGCGGUCUCCUCCUAAAGAGUAACGGAGGAGCACGAAGGUUGGCUAAUCCUGGUCGGACAUCAGGAGGUUAGUGCAAUGGCAUAAGCCAGCUUGACUGCGAGCGUGACGGCGCGAGCAGGUGCGAAAGCAGGUCAUAGUGAUCCGGUGGUUCUGAAUGGAAGGGCCAUCGCUCAACGGAUAAAAGGUACUCCGGGGAUAACAGGCUGAUACCGCCCAAGAGUUCAUAUCGACGGCGGUGUUUGGCACCUCGAUGUCGGCUCAUCACAUCCUGGGGCUGAAGUAGGUCCCAAGGGUAUGGCUGUUCGCCAUUUAAAGUGGUACGCGAGCUGGGUUUAGAACGUCGUGAGACAGUUCGGUCCCUAUCUGCCGUGGGCGCUGGAGAACUGAGGGGGGCUGCUCCUAGUACGAGAGGACCGGAGUGGACGCAUCACUGGUGUUCGGGUUGUCAUGCCAAUGGCACUGCCCGGUAGCUAAAUGCGGAAGAGAUAAGUGCUGAAAGCAUCUAAGCACGAAACUUGCCCCGAGAUGAGUUCUCCCUGAGACUUAGAGUCUCCUGAAGGAACGUUGAAGACGACGACGUUGAUAGGCCGGGUGUGUAAGCGCAGCGAUGCGUUGAGCUAACCGGUACUAAUGAACCGUGAGGCUUAACCUUACAACGCCGAAG
rnacentral:rRNA from 1 species